AUGCAGGGGCACACACACAGCUUUGAGCUCCAGUCUGAAAUCCUGCCAGGCAGGAGAGGAAAAGCAGCAAGUCUGAACCUUGACUUUAAGCCUGACCUCAAGGUUGUAAAAGCUCUUUGACUCACACCUGGUAGAUGUUUUUACUUUAAGAAGCUCAAAACUUGCUUCCAUUGGCACAGUGUCAGAAGCCCAAACUCUGACCUGUGGCUCCAGUGCACUGGAAGCUUUUUGUGCCCAGAAAUCUUUGGAAUAGUUUGUUUCUGGUUCCUAGACUUUGGUGGUCUGUUCCCCAUUAUUUUGUGCAACCCUGGAACCUAGCAGUGUCAGGAUACAAGUUUAGUUUAAAAGAUAAAACCAAAUCAACCAAACAAAAAACUCAACUUGUAUUUUUUCCAGCCAGCAAUCUCACAAGGAUGCCUUCUGCAUGCAAAUGUCUAAUGGCCCCCUGUCCUGAUGGCUAGUGGGUCUCCACCUGACUAAUUUGGUUGGGCUGCUCAAAACUUUAACUUGACUUCUAACUGGAUCGACUUGUUCAUUUAUUUGUUUGUUUGUUUAUUUAUUAUUUAUUUAUUCGAGACAAGGACUUGCUGUGUAGCCUUGCUGACUCCAAACUUUAAGUCAUCUUCCUGCCCUAGCAUCCCCAGUGCUAAUGUAUUAUAGGCACACGCUGCUGGGUUUUGUUUUGGACAUGGAGGUGUGUUUGUCUCAACUGAAGGCAGGCCUCUCUGGCUGCGGGUUUCUAGCAGUCUGGUAAUACUGUAGGACUGGGCUGGGCAUCUAGCUGGCUAGGGAAAUAAAGACCUUUGGGGUUCAACUUGGAAGGGGGAACACCUGCAUGAAGACAAGUACUGUGUUUCAGGAACCCCCCCAAAACACAAUCUCUGUGAUCUGUGUAAGCAUGGUGUGAGGCACUCUCUGAGGUUUUCCAUUCUUCUGCUUUUAAUACUUUUGUUUUUUGACAGGGUCUUGACAUAUAGUCCAGGCUAGUUUAGAAUUGGUGAUCCUCUGGCCUAGGCCUGGGUUUCACAGGCAUAUGCCACUCAGCCUAGCUUGGGCCUUUCAAUUCUAAUAGUCAAGGAUUCUCGAGUUCCUUGUGCUCCUGAUAUUAAAAGUGCACUUGGUGAAGUGACAUUUCUCAAGGCCCUUGGCUCUGUAAGAGCCACUCUCUAGUCCCACCUCUGUCCCACCCCCUCUUCCUCUCUGCCCCAGGGUAAAGAGAAAAGAGCAGGCGUCCUGACCUCACACUUCGUGUGCCACAUCCUGUUUUCAGAUCAAGUGGAACCUGGGGCUGGAAGAUUAAGAUAGGCUGGCUGUGAGCAAGCUCCAGGGAUUUGCUUCUCUCCUAUUUCAGCUCGGAAAUACAAGUGCAUAGCACCAGGCUGAGUGUUUUUGAUGUGGCUUCAGGUGGUUGGACUUAGAUGCUCAAGUAUGUAUGGGAAGCUCAUGCAAACCUUCCUCUGAUGGAUUCCUCUCACAGCUCAAGCUAGAUGAAUUCCCAGCAUAAGCUGAGACUCGGGAGCAGGAUGCAGGCUGAGAAUCAGGACAGCGGCCUGGCCUUUGCUCUUCAAAGAACCCGAAACCAGGAGUCAGUCUGGCUGUGAAAGUGCUCAGCCUUCCUGACUUCUUUGCCUUACACAGGGGAAACAGGAGCCCAGAGAGAAAACCCAGCUCGCACGGUCUGGUCCAUUGCCUUUUUUCCCAGAAUGUCUCAGCAAUACCCUAUGCUUUUGUGAUGCGUGCAUUCCUGCUCAGAUGGAGACCCAUUUCUUCAGAACAGAGAACAUGUCUGCUCACAAGCACUCCUGAACUGCUUUGGAUCCCCUCCCCUUUGGGCCCUGGAAACCAGCCAGCAUCGAGAGUGCCCCUGGGAAGGACACAUCUAUUCAGAAGCAGAAGCCUUGGUGUGCAGGCAAACACAUGCUAAUGUCUGCAGUACGCUCCAAAGGAAACUGGAAAUCUGGAUUUUUCUGCGAAAUAAUCUUGAUUUUAAAAAUACACCAUGAGCAAAAGCAAAAGCCAAAACAAAACAAACAACAACAAAAACAAACCGCCUUCUCCACACUUCCUUUCUGUGGGUUACUGUGUGAGACCUCUGGUCUAGCCUGGCAUCCCAUAAACAUGUCCUGAGUGAAGGUGUGAACAUGCCACUUCACCCAGGGUGUGCUCAUUCUCUGUGCGUAUCCAGAUGUGUUACACGAUAGGGGCCAUCACUGAAGGGAGCAGGCAAAAGCACCUUGGCCAAAGUGCUGCCAUUUUGACUUCAGACACCAUUUUACCAGCAGGGUGAGAUAAAGUGCAGGUUCCCAAGCCCUAGGGGAGCUGAGAACUUUCCUGUAGCUAGCUGACCCAUCUCCUCCCUAAACCAUAGAAAUAGUUCUUAUUCAUCUUUAGUUCUCUAGACACAUUAUGGCUGUUCCUAACCACAGAAAGAACAAAUGAAUCUGAUUGGUUGGACUGAAAGCUUGCAUUGUACAGGGGCUGACAAUGAUGGAACAUUCAAGGAAGUCCCAAUUUCUAAAUCCUGAUUGGUGAAAAUUGUAACUGUAAUUUUGCAACGAAUGUUUGUGAAUUUUGGGCUUAAAUACUGGCAUUUGGGGUUGCAGUUCAGCUCCCUGCGUCUGUCCUGUGGCCCUGAUUGAUCAGCUCCCUCUCCUUUCCCCUUCUUUUGUGCUGUCCUGAAUUAAAUCUUGCCUAGUAA